UGAGAUGGAGGCUCACUCUGUGGCCCAGGCUGGAGUGCAGUGGCGCACCCUCAGCUCACUGCAACCUCUGCCUCCUGGGUUCAAGCGAUUCUCCUGCCUCAGCCUCCCGAGUAGCUGGUAUUACAGGCGCCCGCGACAACAUCUGGCUAAUUAUUAUUUUUUUUUGCUAUUUUUAGUAGAGACAGGAUUUCACCAUGUUGAUCAGGCUGUUCUCGAACUCCUGACCUCAAGUGAUCCACUCACCUCAGCCUCCCAAAGUGCUGGGAUUACAGGUGUGAGCCACCACGCCUGGCUGGGGUUUUAACUUUUAACGUCCUAAUGUUUAAGGUAAUUCUGUUGUGUGUUUGGAAGUGACCUUACCUUUAACACCUGUGGAGUUAGUGCGUGCACAUUGCUGGCUCAGCGUAACCCAUCACGGGACUGGAAGAGGAGAGGAGAGGAGGGAAGAGGAGAGCAGCUUCAGGCUGUGGUGUCUCCCACAUCUGUGUUCUUAUUUUCAGCUCAGGGUUUGCAUUCCCAGGUAGAACAGGUGUCAUAUGUUGUGAAAUGUUCCAGGUUAUUUGUUUAUAAUGUGUGUGUCAUAUAUAGAUGGCUCCAAUGACAUCUGAAGUUGUGACUUCACUCUCUUGUCAUAUUUCUGUAUGAUGAGCCCCAGGGCCCGUCCUGCGGUCUGCUGGCCAUGUGCUUGGUCUCACCUCCCCAGCCCACGCUGACAUGACCACCCAGAGACCCUUCAGUGCUGUGUGUUUUUGCUUUUUAGGGUUACUUUUGACUCACAGUGUUAGGCAGGCCAGCUUGGAAGUUAAGUUUUAAAAAAAUUCAAUUGAAGCUGUAAAGCAUAAUGUACAGAUGGGAAGUCACCAGAAAUUUGUUUUAGUUUGUGAAUUCCCACAGUGUAUGUUCUGGAAAGAAAAUGGGAGAGUGUGUAAAGCAUCUCCUGCAGGGGAAGCUGCGUGACCCUGGACUUCUGGCUCAUCUGAAUAAAUGUGUUCUUAUUCUGG